UACUCGAGUGGCGAACGGGUGAGUAACACGUGGGUGAUCUGCCCUGCACUUCGGGAUAAGCCUGGGAAACUGGGUCUAAUACCGGAUAGGACCACAUUUUGGAUGGUGUGGUGGAAAGUUUUUCGGUGUGGGAUGAGCUCGCGGCCUAUCAGCUUGUUGGUGGGGUAAUGGCCUACCAAGGCGUCGACGGGUAGCCGGCCUGAGAGGGUGUACGGCCACAUUGGGACUGAGAUACGGCCCAG
rnacentral:rRNA from 1 species